UAGAGUUUGAUGGUUUUUGCGGCCCGGGUACAUGGAAUCAUCUCUAACCUAAUUAAUAGCUAUCUCGAGUGAUGCUUCUCAUGUCGUCAACGACCUAUCUUGAUGCGGCUGUGUCUCUUUCUCAGCCACCGCGCCUCCGACUACUCCGACUGUGUCUCCUCCUUUGUGAGCGGCUCCGUAUCUCCUCCUCUGCCUCAUUAUCCUAUGCGACUCCAUAUUUAUUUUCCUUCUCUUUCUGUCGCCAACAAUGGUGGUUAAGCCUCUUGGAUCUGCUCUGAGGUCUUCUGGGGUUUGGACAAAAAGCUUGCAAAGAGAGAGCAUUUCCCUUCUGUUAAUUGUUUGAUUUCCUACUCAAAGUAUUCAACGGUAUGCUUACACAUCACCGUCCUUCUCCAGACCCGUCUUGGUAUACUAUCUCUAAGUUCUUGGUAUAUAUAUUUCUUUUUUCUGUAAUUGGAAUCUUUCUAUGAGAAGUUCGAUCCAGAUUUCAUCAACAUCAGGACAAAGGCCAGAGAGGUGUUGCAGAGGGAAGAUGAUCUUAGUGAAAUUGUCCAGCUUGUGGGAAAAGAUGCGCUAGCAGAAGGUGACAAGAUCACCUUGGAAACAGCCAAACUAUUGAGAGAAGACUACCUUGCUCAAAACGCGUUCACACCGUUAGAUUUUAAUGUCUCCCUUUGUUUCUUCAUUACGAAAAUUUCCGUUGCUUCCGAUAUCAUUCCAGAACCAUUUCUUCCAGAAGUGAUACUCAUCAAAGCUUCUUUACCGAAGCUUCCUCAAGAAAACCGCAGGAGUUACGAGGCCAUGGGUCUAGGCACUCAACAGUAUUUUUUUCUGGAAAGUGACGUCAAUUUAUAGGCAAGGGUGCAGAAGUGAAGUUCGCCGCAAGUUUGCUAAUGAGUGAUAUCGUUGCUCUCUUGAACAAUGAAGAAAAUCUUCAGUCAAUGAUGUUAAACUUACUUCUUAAGAGUUUCUGAGCUGAUACUUGCAAGAAAAGAUGGAACCAUUAGCGGAAAGAGUGGUCAACAGGCGUUUGCUCAGCAUUUGAGAUCCUCCACUUCGUCAAGUACCACGGCUUUGGAAACUAUUUCAUUCUGGUAGACAAUAGGGAUUCCUCAGAGCCUAAGAUUACUCAGGAGCAAGCUGUGAAGCUCUGUGAUCGAAACUUUGGUGUUGGUGCGGAGUCAUCUUUGCGAUGCCUGACGUUAAUGGCACUGAUUACACUAUGAGGAUAUUCAACUCAGAUGGUAGCGAACCAGAGUUUUACAAUACAUACUGGUGCUGGCCUCAUCAUUCCAGAGAUUCAAGGUGAUGGGCAGGUUAAGGUUGAUAUGAGGAAACCAAUACUUAGAGAAGAGGAUGUGCCUACGAGGUUGGAAGGGAACAAAGGCGAGUCUGUUGUUGCGGCGGAGCUAGCAGAGAUGAAGUGUACUGAUUAGUUGUCUAAUUGUCUAAUUGAAACACUUAACAAAGAUGAAGUGUACUGAUUAGCUGUUGCAACUGCAUUUUCACUCAUGAGCAAACUCUCUGGUUACUGAAGAAUUUUUUGAAUGAUAUAUUCCUCCCUGGAACUCAAGCCUCUUGCUACUCAUCAUUACAUGUAUCAGCCUACCAUUUCUUCUCCGAUUCAAACUAUUUUCACAAAUCAAAUUCUUUUGUAUAUUAUAAAUUAGCUUCUUUAUUGUUUUUGGCUGAGAAAUUUGAGUUCAUGUUUAUUUAUAAAGAUCUAUAAUAUUUGUUUUUUCUACG